rnacentral:rasiRNA from 1 species
UGCUCUCGAAUGUAUGCCCGAUAU